UACGAAGGGGGCUAGCGUUGCUCGGAAUGACUGGGCGUAAAGGGCGCGUAGGCGGCUUGCACCGUCAGAUGUGAAAUUCCUGGGCUUAACCUGGGGGCUGCAUUUGAUACGUGUGGGCUUGAGUGCGGAAGAGGGUCGUGGAAUUCCCAGUGUAGCGGUGAAAUGCGUAGAUAUUGGGAGGAACACCAGUGGCGAAGGCGGCUACCUGGACCGGUUCUGACGCUGAGGCGCGAAAGCGUGGGUAGCAAACAGG
rnacentral:rRNA from 1 species